rnacentral:rRNA from 1 species
AUGAACGCGCCAGAGCAUCCGAACCUAGCUGUAUUCAUGCUGGGAAGGAGUGUCCAAGUGUGUGUCUCUGAGUCAUACAUCUCUACGGAGCUCAAGUGACUAUUAGAAGAAUCAGCGCCUCCCGCGACAUACGCCUUCUCCCCGACACUUGCUGACCCAAAGCAGUACCGCGGAGUGUUCAUCUCAUCCGCCAGCCAUGUCCAUGAAUUGGUAAGGAUGCUAUAUCUCCAGGCAACCCUUCCGAAGUCCCCAAACACCAGCAGCUCGGUUCCUACAGCAAGAGAGUCCCAGUAGGAGCUUUCAGCCGGUGGAAUCUUGGGCACAUGGAUCCAGCGCCCAGUGGACGGGUCAUAA